GCAACCUCCCACCGUCUCUGCCACUCCAUUCUAGGAUCACCUGGGGGACCACACAGAUCCUGGUGCAAGAAAACUGCAGGUUGGGAUCAUGAGAAAUCAAGGAGAGAGCAGCGAGAAGACACC